UACAGAGGGUGCGAGCGUUAAUCGGAAUUACUGGGCGUAAAGGGCGCGUAGGCGGAUUGAUAAGUUAGAUGUGAAAAAUCAGAGCUUAACUUUGAUCGUGCAUUUAAGACUGUCAGACUAGAGUAGAGUAGAGGGAAGUGGAAUUUCCGGUGUAGCGGUGAAAUGCGUAGAUAUCGGAAAGAACAUCAGUGGCGAAGGCGGCUUCCUGGACUUAUACUGACGCUGAGGCGCGAAAGCGUGGGUAGCAAACAGG
rnacentral:rRNA from 1 species